UGCAGUCGAACGGACUUAACCAUUAGUUUACUAUUGGAGCGGUUAGUGGCAGACUGGUGAGUAACACGUAAGCAACCUGCCUAUCAGAGGGGAACAACAGUUAGAAAUGACUGCUAAUACCGCAUAUGCCUAAGUACCACAUGGUACAAUAGGGAAAGGAGUAAUCCGCUGAUAGAUGGGCUUGCGUCUGAUUAGCUAGUUGGUGGGGUAAAGGCCUACCAAGGCAACGAUCAGUAGCCGGACUGAGAGGUUGAACGGCCACAUUGGGACUGAGAUACGGCCCAGACUCCUACGGGAGGCAGCAGUCGGGAAUAUUGCGCAAUGGAGGAAACUCUGACGCAGUGACGCCGCGUGCAGGAAGAAGGUUUUCGGAUUGUAAACUGCUUUAGACAGGGAAGAAACAAGACAGUACCUGUAGAAUAAGCUCCGGCUAACUACGUGCCAGCAGCCGCGGUAAUACGUAGGGAGCGAGCGUUAUCCGGAUUUAUUGGGUGUAAAGGGUGCGUAGACGGGAAGAUAAGUUAGUUGUGAAAUCCCUCGGCUUAACUGAGGAACUGCAACUAAAACUGUUUUUCUUGAGUACUGGAGAGGAAAGUGGAAUUCCUAGUGUAGCGGUGAAAUGCGUAGAUAUUAGGAGGAACACCAGUGGCGAAGGCGACUUUCUGGACAGAAACUGACGUUGAGGCACGAAAGUGUGGGGAGCAAACAGGAUUAGAUACCCUGGUAGUCCACACCGUAAACGAUGGAUACUAGGUGUAGG
rnacentral:rRNA from 1 species